rnacentral:rRNA from 1 species
ACUAAAUAGAUACCCGGGUAGUCCACGCCCUAAACGAUGUCUACUAGUUGUCGGGGAUUCAUUUCCUUGGUAAACGCAGCUAAACGCGUGAAAGUAGACCGCCUGGGGAGUACGGCCGCAAGGUUAAAACUCAAAGGAAUUGACGGGGACCCGCACAAGCGGUGGAUGAUGUGGAUUAAUUCGAUGCAACGCGAAAAACCUUACCUACGCUUGACAUGCCAGGAACUUUCCAGAGAUGGAUUGGUGCCCGAAAGGGAACCUGGACACAGGUGCUGCAUGGCUGUCGUCAGCUCGUGUCGUGAGAUGUUGGGUUAAGUCCCGCAACGAGCGCAACCCUUAUCCUUAGUUGCUACGCAAGGGCACUCUAGGGAGACUGCCGGUGACAAACCGGAGGAAGGUGGGGAUGACGUCAAGUCCUCAUGGCCCUUAUGUGUAGGGCUUCACACGUCAUACAAUGGUCGGUACAGAGGGUCGCCAACCCGCGAGGGGGAGCCAAUCCCAGAAAACCGAUCGUAGUCCGGAUUGCAGUCUGCAACUCGACUGCAUGAA